CCAAGAAUGUAGCUCAGUGGUGGAGCGCUUUCCUAGUGUGUGUGAAGCACUGGGUUCAAUCCCCAGCACUGGGG
rnacentral:tRNA from 1 species